UCGUUUCUACCAGAUGUUUAUAAUAAAAACAACAUGUUCCAAAAUUGACACGUCGGAUAUUCAAAAUUUUCGUAAUGUUUAAAUUUGUUUCAAGAAGUCUUGCCAUUCGGCCGAAGCGAGAGGCGUCGAACACGGCCCAGUCGAACACUCCCACGGCGGAUAAAACAGAAAAGAAAGCCAGCUCUGCGGAAAAACAGAUAAUAGGCCCUUGCGGCAAAGACCUGAAAACCUGCCCGUGUAAAGAAUGCAAAGAUAUGAGAGAGAAAAAGGACGAAAAGCCUAAAGCUUAAUUUUCCCCUAUUGUUCAGAAAAAUGUCGCCAAAUAUCUUCCCUCCCUCUCUCUUUCUCAAAAAAAAAAAAAUUAAUCAAGGCUUAGAAUGUUUCAAUAUUAAGUUUUAAAGACCAUGAUAAAUCAUUUUGACACAAUUUAUGCAAAUUGAUUCAAUUUAUUCAAGACCGGGGACCGUUGACAGCUUACACAAUAUGUAAAAACAUUAUACAUAAUAAAUACUUUUGUGAAUCGA